rnacentral:rRNA from 1 species
GAUAAACGCUGGCGGCGCACAUAAGACAUGCAAGUUGAACGGACUUAAUCGAAAUAUUUAUAUUUUGAAGCGGUUAGUGGCGGACUGGUGAGUAACGCGUAAGGAACCUGCCUAUUAGAGGGGAAUAACAGUGAGAAAUCAUUGCUAAUACCGCAUAUGCCAUAGAUAUCACAUGAUAACAGUGGGAAAGGAGCAAUCCGCUAAUAGAUGGCCUUGCGCCUGAUUAGAUAGUUGGUGGGGUAACGGCCUACCAAGUCGACGAUCAGUAGCCGGACUGAGAGGUUGAACGGCCACAUUGGGACUGAGAUACGGCCCAGACUCCUACGGGAGGCAGCAGUCGGGAAUAUUGCGCAAUGGAGGAAACUCUGACGCAGUGACGCCGCGUAGAGGAAGAAGGUUUUCGGAUUGUAAACUAUUGUCGUUAGGGAAGAGAAAGGACAGUACCUAAGGAGGAAGCUCCGGCUAACUACGUG